UCAGUCAAUGAUGAUGACUGGUGGCGAAUCAGCCAUGGGUAACGAAUACCAUGUCUGCAACUCUGCCUCUGUUGAA
ensembl:snoRNA